rnacentral:rRNA from 1 species
UACGUAGGGGGCUAGCGUUAUCCGGAAUUAUUGGGCGUAAAGAGCUCGUAGGCGGUUUGUCGCGUCUGCCGUGAAAAGUCCGGGGCUCAACUCCGGAUCUGCGGUGGGUACGGGCAGACUAGAGUGAUGUAGGGGGAGACUGGAAUUCCUGGUGUAGCGGUGAAAAUGCGCAGAUAUCAGGAGGAACACCGAUGGCGAAGGCAGGUCUCUGGGCAUUAACUGACGCUGAGGAGCGAAAGCAUGGGGGAGCGAACAGG